AUGUUGUAUGAAAGAAGAAAAGGUUAGCACUUCCCUUGACGAGGAUGGAAGAUGCCUUAGUUGCCUGCGCAACACGUAAGAUUAAGUCACUGCCACCUACUUCAUGCCAUCUAACCAUGUUUUUGA